rnacentral:rRNA from 1 species
UACAGAGGUCUCAAGCGUUGUUCGGAUUCACUGGGCGUAAAGGGUGCGCAGGUGGGUUGGCAAGUUUGAUGUGAAAGCCCCGGGCUUAACCCGGGAAUGGCAUUGAAUACUGCUGAUCUGGAGGAUUGGAGGGGGGACUGGAAUUCUUGGUGUAGCAGUGAAAUGCGUAGAUAUCAAGAGGAACACCAGUGGCGAAGGCGAGUCCCUGGACAAUACCUGACACUGAGGCACGAAAGCCAAGGGAGCAAACAGG